rnacentral:lncRNA from 1 species
GAGGAGUGGUUCAAGACUCUGACCACCCUCCCGGCGGCCAUCCGCAUGGCGAUCGAGAUGGGCAUCGUGUCCUCCUCACAGCUGGUUCGGUUCAUGUCGGUGGACAUUCGUCCGUCCGUGGUGCGCGCGGUGUCGCGCUCCACCCCGCUCCCGGUGUCCAGGGCGUUCAUCGGGCGGCUCAUGGCGGAUCCUGCGUUUCUGUGGAAGCUGGGCUUUGAGCAGACGGUGACGAUCGCGGGCGGACUGAUGUACGAGGCGGCGCACCGCGGUGACAGGCUCAAGGACGAGUGGGACCUGGCGGCGGCCAACAUCGCUCAGCUCUCGCUCGUGAACGCCAUGACCGUCUGGUGCCUCACCCCUUGCCGUAACUUUGGCGCGCAGCACAAGCACGCGUGGCAGCGGGUGUUGGACUCUGUCCCCAACAACGCAUUCGACAGGCAGGGCCCGCUGAGGCAGUACACCA